AUGGAAGACGUCACCGGGCUGAGGAAGCCGGUGGUGGCCAACAACGUCGGCGGCGGCAGCGCGGAUCAGGACGGCGGCAAGGAGAAAGUGGCGGCGCGGCCGGGGUGCCGCGUGCAGGAGCUGGCAGCGCGCGAGGACGGCGGAGUGCGGUUGAAGGUGGUGAUGACGAGGAAGGACGCGGCGGAGUUCAUGGCGAGGCUGGAGAAGCGGGCCGCGGAGAGGAAAGCCAGGAUGGAAGAGCUCGUCAAUGGCGGCGUGAUGAGCCCAUGCAGGGAUGCAUGGAGGCCUCGUCUCGCGACCAUACCGGAGAUUUAG
rnacentral:rRNA from 1 species